UACGGUGACCAUAGCGUCGGGGAAACACCCAGUCUCCAUUCCGAACCUGGAAGUUAAGCCCGACAGCGCCGAUGGUACUGCGACCGGGAGGUCGUGGGAGAGUAGGACGUCGCCGGACAUUCACACUGUUAAGGGCCACCCACACCGGGUGGCCCUUAA
rnacentral:rRNA from 1 species